UACGUAGGGCGCAAGCGUUAUCCGGAAUUAUUGGGCGUAAAGAGCUCGUAGGCGGUUUGUCGCGUCUGCCGUGAAAGUCCGGGGCUCAACUCCGGAUCUGCGGUGGGUACGGGCAGACUAGAGUGAUGUAGGGGAGACUGGAAUUCCUGGUGUAGCGGUGAAAUGCGCAGAUAUCAGGAGAACACCGAUGGCGAAGGCAGGCUGCUGGGCAUUAACUGACGC
rnacentral:rRNA from 1 species